GCGCCCGUAGCUCAAUUGGAUAGAGCGUCUGACUACGGAUCAGAAGGUUAUGGGUUCGAGUCCUUUCGGGCGCGC
rnacentral:tRNA from 1 species